rnacentral:lncRNA from 1 species
GGUCGCAAGAGUUCAUUUGCUGGACUGAGGAAAAAGAAGAAGAAGCAUGUGAGUGUUUUGACGAUUUAUGUCUUCUAAAUUACUGGUGUCUUAAGUUUCAAAAUGAGUCUCUGUCUCAUAAUGUUUUGUUUGUUUUGAUGGAUAGGUUAAAAUUUCAAGCUCAUGAAUGAAGAAAGUCUCGAUGCUGCAGAAGACUUGGAUGAUAUUUUUUUAGAUUAUUUUCUUUGCUUAUUGUUAAUUGUUUCUUAUUGUUAAUUAUUUUUAGCAGGAAAAAUGUGUUCUCUGUUUGAAGCUUACAUAAAAUACAUUGUAGAGGGAAUAUAUUUGCAGCACCAGCAACGCUACCCUUGGUAGGUAAGUGAUAUGGGUUACAUAUAUGACGAGGUGAAUAUUUUUAAUAUUCAUGGAGCAUAAACACAUUUAGAAAAUAUUAAUUAAAGACCAUAUUUCCA